GAUAAGAUAUGUUGCAGCAAGAAUUGCAUCCUCCCAAUAAUGUGUAGGAAGAUUCAUAAUAAGCAUAAGAGAUCAAGUCAUCUCUAAUAAAUGUCUAUUUUUUCUUUUAGACACCCUAUUUUGUUCACUAGUAUUGACACAACUAGUUUGAUGCACCAUACCAUUUGAAUCCAAAGAAGCAUAAAAAACACUGUUAAUAUAUUGUGUCAUUAUCAGUUUUUAAGAUUUCAACCUUAGCAUCAAACUGUAUACAAAUCAUUUUGUGCAACAGUUGAAAGGAAGAAAACACUUCACUUUUUGCUUCCAUCAAAUAGACUAAUGUCAACCUAGUGCAACAGUCAAUAAAAGUGACAAACCAUCUAUAUCCAGACAAAGAAGUAGUUUGGGUAGGCCCUCAUAUAUCAAAAUGAAUAGUCAUAACAAGGGUCGAACUUCUAUUAUCUGUUGAAAAAUAAAAUUGUCUUGUGUGUUUAGCAAAUUCACAAGCAUCACAAACUAGUAAUUCUGAGUUGCAACUUAUAAACAAAUUAGGAUAUAACCUUUAUAAAGCAGUAAAAGAUGGAUGUCCUAAUCUUCUAUGCCAUUAGAUAAUCUUUUUAUUAGCACUUAUAGACUUUCCUAAUAAAGCCUAGUUUGCUCCAGGAUUUGAGGGAUCACACCUGUCAUCUAGCAAACACAGGCCAUCUCGCAAUUUACCACUAUCAAUCGUUUUCUCUGUUCUCAAAUCUUGAAAUAUGCAAUAAGUAGGAAAAAAAAAAAUUAAAUUUUGCAAGUAAGGGCUUGGGUAAUGAAAUUAACAGAUAAAAGAUUAAUAG
rnacentral:misc_RNA from 1 species